rnacentral:rRNA from 1 species
CGGACGGGUGAGUAACGCGUGGGUAACCUGCCUCACACUGGGGGACAACAGUUAGAAAUGACUGCUAAUACCGCAUAAGCGCACAGGACCACAUGGUCUAGUGUGAAAAACUCCGGUGGUGUGAGAUGGACCCGCGUUUGAUUAGCUAGUUGGUGGGGUAACGGCCUACCAAGGCGACGAUCAAUAGCCGACCUGAGAGGGUGACCGGCCACAUUGGGACUGAGACACGGCCCAA